rnacentral:rRNA from 1 species
CCUANGGGCGGCAGCAGUGGGGAAUUUUGCGCAAUGGGGGAAACCCUGACGCAGCAACGCCGCGUGGAGGAUGAAGGUUUUCGGAUUGUAAACUCCUUUUGCGGGGGAAGAACUGCUCUAUGAAGAAUAGAGUUUGACGGUACUCCGCGAAUAAGCCACGGCAAACUACGUGCCAGCAGCCGCGGUAAAACGUAGGUGGCAAGCGUUACUCGGAAUUACUAGGCGUAAAGCGCGGGUAGGUGGUUGAGAAAGUCCGCUGUGUAAGCCCCGUACUUCAUACGGGGAGGUCAGUGGAUACUACUUGACGUGAGGGUGGGAGGGGAAGCUGGAAUUCCUGGUGUAGCGGUGAAAUGCGUAGAUAUCAGGAAGAACACCGAUGGCGAAAGCAGGCUUCUGGACCAAUACUGACACUGAGCCGCGAAAGCUAGGGGAGCAAACAGGAUUAGAUACCCCANUANUC